CCUACGGGAGGCUGCAGUGGGGAAUCUUGCGCAAUGGGCGGAAGCCUGACGCAGCAACGCCGCGUGUGGGAAGACGGCUUUCGGGUUGUAAACCACUUUCAGGGGGGACGAAGCUUCCGAGGUUAAUAGCCUACGGGGUGACGGUACCCCCAGAAGAAGCCCCGGCUAACUACGUGCCAGCAGCCGCGGUAAUACGUAGGGGGCGAGCGUUGUCCGGAAUCACUGGGCGUCGGGCUCGUGUAGGCGGUGUGAAAUCUUGGGGCUUAACCCCAAGCCUGCACUGGAUACUGUCAAGCUUGAGUCCGGGAGGGGAGAGCGGAAUUCCUAGUGUAGCGGUGAAAUGCGCAGAUAUUAGGAAGAACACCGGUGGCGAAGGCGGCACUCUGGAACGGUACUGACGCUGAGACGCGAAAGCGUGGGGAGCGAACAGGAUUAGAUACCCCAGUAGUC
rnacentral:rRNA from 1 species